rnacentral:rRNA from 1 species
AGAGUUUGAUCAUGGCUCAGGAUGAACGCUAGCUACAGGCUUAACACAUGCAAGUCGAGGGGAAACGACAUCGAAAGCUUGCUUUUGAUGGGCGUCGACCGGCGCACGGGUGAGUAACGCGUAUCCAACCUGCCCACCACUUGGGGAUAACCUUGCGAAAGUAAGACUAAUACCCAAUGAUAUCUCUAGAAGACAUCUGAAAGAGAUUAAAGAUUUAUCGGUGAUGGAUGGGGAUGCGUCUGGAUUAGCUUGGUUGGCGGGGUAACGGCCACCAAGGCUACGAUCAGUAGGGGUUCUGAGAGGAAGGUCCCCCACAUUGGAACUGAGACACGGUCCAAACUCCGUACGGAGGCA